CGGAGGCUUUAUAACCACUUCGUAGCGGCUGGUCGGCUUCUGUCUCCGGGAGGGCUGCCUAGGCGGCGGCGGCGGCGGCCGGGGCGCCGGCUGGGGGGCCGCUGAGGCGGGAGCUGCGGCGGCGCUGGGCGCCCCUGGCCCCUCAGCCUCUGCCGGCCAUGGGCUCCGAGAAGGACUCCGAGUCGCCGCGCUCCACCUCGCUCCCUGCGGCCGCCCCCGACCCUAAGUGCCGCAGCGGCGGCCGGCGCCGGCGCCUCACCUUCCACAGCGUCUUCUCCGCCACGGCCCGCCGUCGCCGCGCCCGGACCAAGCCUCAGGCCGAGCCGCCGCCCCCGGCCGCGCCGCCGCCUCCCGCUCCGGCCCCGACCGAGGCCCAGGCUCCGCCGAUGGAGGCGCUGCCCGCCGAGCCGGCUAUCGAGGCUGAGGCGGAGGCCGCGGCUGCGGGGCCGGAGGAGGACGAGGUGGCCGAGGGCGGCGGCGCGGAGGAGGUGGAGUGUCCGCUGUGCCUGGUGCGCCUGCCGCCCGAGCGGGCCCCGCGCCUCCUCAGCUGCCCGCACCGCUCGUGCCGGGACUGCCUCCGCCACUACCUGCGCCUGGAGAUCAGCGAGAGCCGCGUGCCCAUCAGCUGCCCCGAGUGCAGCGAGCGCCUCAACCCACACGACAUCCGUCUGCUGCUGGCCGACCCGCCGCUCAUGCACAAGUACGAAGAGUUCAUGCUGCGCCGGUACCUGGCUUCGGACCCCGACUGCCGCUGGUGUCCGGCCCCGGACUGCGGUUAUGCUGUUAUUGCCUAUGGCUGUGCCAGCUGCCCAAAGCUAACCUGUGAGAGGGAAGGCUGCCAGACUGAGUUCUGCUACCACUGCAAGCAGAUAUGGCAUCCAAACCAGACCUGCGAUAUGGCCCGUCAGCAGAGGGCUCAGACUUUACGAGUUCGGACCAAGCAUACUUCAGGUCUCAGCUAUGGGCAAGACUCUGGACCAGAUGACAUCAAGCCAUGCCCACGAUGUAGUGCUUACAUUAUCAAGAUGAAUGAUGGAAGCUGUAAUCACAUGACCUGUGCAGUGUGUGGCUGUGAAUUCUGCUGGCUUUGCAUGAAAGAGAUCUCCGACUUGCAUUACCUCAGUCCCUCUGGCUGUACAUUCUGGGGCAAGAAGCCAUGGAGCCGGAAGAAGAAGAUUCUUUGGCAGUUGGGCACAUUGAUUGGUGCUCCAGUGGGGAUCUCUCUCAUAGCUGGCAUUGCAAUUCCUGCCAUGGUCAUUGGCAUUCCUGUUUACGUUGGGAGGAAGAUUCACAGCAGAUAUGAGGGAAGGAAAACCUCCAAACACAAGAGGAAUUUGGCCAUCACAGGAGGAGUGACUUUAUCAGUCAUUGCGUCCCCAGUGAUUGCUGCUGUCAGUGUUGGUAUUGGUGUCCCCAUUAUGCUGGCAUACGUUUAUGGGGUUGUACCCAUUUCUCUCUGUCGCGGAGGUGGCUGUGGAGUUAGCACAGCCAAUGGAAAGGGGGUGAAAAUUGAGUUUGAUGAAGAUGAUGGUCCAAUCACAGUGGCAGAUGCCUGGCGGGCCCUCAAGAACCCCAGCAUUGGGGAGAGCAGCAUCGAAGGCCUGACUAGUGUGCUAAGCACCAGUGGGAGCCCUACAGAUGGACUCAGUGUUAUGCAAGGCCCUUAUAGUGAAACAGCCAGCUUUGCUGCCCUUUCCGGGGGCACACUGAGUGGUGGCAUUCUCUCCAGCGGCAAGGGAAAAUACAGCAGGUUAGAAGUCCAAGCCGAUGUCCAAAAGGAAAUUUUCCCCAAAGACACAGCCAGUCUUGGUGCAAUUAGUGACAACGCAAGCACUCGUGCUAUGGCCGGUUCCAUAAUCAGUUCCUACAACCCGCAGGACAGAGAGUGCAACAAUAUGGAAAUCCAAGUGGACAUUGAAGCCAAACCAAGUCACUAUCAGUUGGUGAGUGGAAGUAGCACAGAGGACUCUCUGCAUGUCCAUGCGCAGAUGGCCGAGAAUGAAGAGGAGGGGAAUGGUGGUGCUGGCGUUGACGGUGGUGGCAGUGAAGAGGCCCCCCCUUGCAAACACCAAAGCUGUGAACAGAAAGACUGCCUGGCUAGCAAGACUUGGGAUAUCAGCCUGGCCCAGCCUGAAAGCAUCCGCAGUGACCUAGAGAGCUCUGACACACAGUCAGAUGACGUGCCAGACAUCACUUCCGAUGAGUGUGGCUCCCCCCGUUCCCAUGCCGCAGCCUGUCCCUCAACCCCCAGAGCCCACAGUGCACCAAGCCCAAGUGCCCACAGGACCCUCGCUGCUCCAGCUGAGGGCCAGACUGUCUCAAAGCCAGAAGAGGACGAAGUGGAGUGAAGGCUGCUGCUCUGAGAAGCACACUUGUUGUUCUUCUACCCCAGAGCUACAUCCCAGCCCCAGGAGCAGAUCCUUGCUGAGGAAGAGAUGUGACUACAAGAUCACCAGGCAUAGCAUAGGUGUUGGCCACGCUCUCAGGGGCACCUGGGGGCCUGCACAGUAACGGAUGAGCCGUCCAGACAGACAGCCGCUGUGGAAGAUCGGACCUCAGGCACUGCCACCUGGGAACAGAAAUGCUAAUGGACUAUGCAUCUCAAGACAAGCAAGCUGGACGCUUCAUGCCAUGACUUCCUUGAAGCUGGGGCUCUGCAUAUAACUUACCUUGGCAGAGAGAUACCCAAACACAGUAUUGACAGAGUGAUGGGGAGGCUUUAACUUCUUCAGCUAAUGUUCCUGCAAGAUCGUCACACCUCAGACUGCUGCUCACUGGCGCUCCAGGGUCAGAGGUAGCUUUUCAGAAGUGGUAACAGGCACAAAGCUUAGCUCUGUCGUGACUAAGUUGUGUUUGAAGGAAAUGAAGAUGUCGUAGCUUUGGGAUAUGGUAAACUCCAGGCACCUGACACACAGCCUUUGAGAAGAAAGAUGAAGCAUCGGCAGUGACAGGCCAGCUCAUAAGGAAGGAGGCCGGAUGACAGAGUGAGGAAAGGAAGGGCUCUGAGCAUGUGCAGUAGAGCCCUGAACCUUUUCCCUUGUAGCCACCACGAGGCUGAAGUACCAGAAAUAAAAUGGGGUCGGUCACCGCCAGGUCUCCUGUGUGACAGGACAUUGCCUAGUGAAAACAAUGGGACUGUGAAAUGAGAACUGGGGAUAUUCACUCCGAUUUGGAUAAAUCCUGUCACCCCAGUGUCUCCACAUAGUUCCUCACACCAGCAGAAGCAGUGUUCCCCGUUGUCUUGUGUAGAGGCUUUGGAGUUGUCACCUUGAAAGACAAUGUCCAUCCUUGUGCCCUGCUAUGGCCCUCAUCACUUCCACAGCCACAGCUGGGGUCAGGGGUUCUCCUCUGGAAGGUGCAGCGGUCGGACCUGAGAGAUUGAAGGACGUGACACUGUCAGCAGUUUUCAGCAGAGACCUGGGGAAUGUGUGGAUUUGAUUCCAAAGGUGUCAGGAUAAGACAAGAGAAGGAAAAUCUUGUUCAUUUUGGUUGAAUUGACUAGUACGGACAAAGGAAACUGAAUCCAGGCUGUUUAGCAAGUUAGUUCAUUUUGGUUGAAUUGGUUAGUGUGGACAAAGGAAACACUCUGGAUCCAGGCUGUUUACCAACUCGGACAACUAAGAACAGCUUUCAGCUUACUGGGUGGAUAAAA